rnacentral:lncRNA from 1 species
UCGUGGUUGUUGCCUUUGUUGCUCUGGCAAAUCUGUUGCCAUGGUGGUUUCAGAAGAUCUUUUCCCACAAGAACUUGCCUCGUGUGGUCCUAUCAGCCAUUACUGAUUUAUUUUUAUUUUUCCAAACAAAAAUGUCUUGCAACGACGUAGAUGAAUACACAAUGUACCUUCAGUUGUACAAAUGGUACAAACAGGAUUGUGUUGAGAUGGGAAAGGUUCCCAAAGAAUUAAUAUCGUUUCUCGGACAGUUAAAAGCAAAAGCUCGUGGCCCUGGUGACGAUAGUCAGUUGAAGGGAAACUUAACUGAAUCGCAAGAAAGUAAACCAUCUUUGGUCUCAUCUUGGAACCUCCUUGUCCUUCACCGAUGACAACCAAAUUUGAUAAUGUUGCUGCACAUUUUACAACCAGCUCAUCCUUUGGUCAUUCAGCAUUGAAUCCAAAAUCUGCUAACAGAGCCACAAAUUGUCCAGCCUUAGAUGGCAUCAAACGAAAGCUGAGAACCAUUGAAGGGAAAAGUGUUCCUACAGUUAAGAAAAGAUGCAUAAACACAUCCACAUUUACAUUACAUGUAUUUGUGUUCCCACACUUCGGCUGGUUAGGAAGUACAGCCACUACAGGAGAAAAGGCAGACUUUUGUGACAUGUUUUACAGAGCUGGGCUCUGGAGAUAAGGGAGCUGGAAACAUCAUUCCUGGCGGUGCCACACUGCUUUUUGAUGUCGAGUUGAUGGGCAUCAACCAGGCCCCACCUCCCCAGAAUGUUUUCAAACAGAUUGACAGUGAUUCCAACAACCAGUUGUCGAAAGAAGAGGUGGCAGAUUACAUAAAAAAGCACAUUUUCCCAACUGAGAAAGCUGAAGAGGUCCCUGCUGAAGAAGGAGCACCGCAGCAGCAAGAUCCUCUCAAGAUUACUGAAGAGAUCUUCCAGCACGAAGAUCACGACCGAGAUGGCUACAUCUCGUUCGAAGAAUUCUACGGACCGCACGAUGAACUCCAAGUCUUCCAUUCUCGCGAUCCAGUUUAAAUCUCAGGUGCGGAGAAUCGAGAUUUUUAAUAUCGAAUUUUCCUAAUAAAUUAGAAUAAUUUUGUUUUCUUUUCAAAUAUAGAAUUAGCUCUCUCAACCGGCCAUAACAAAAUGCAAUUCCAUAUUGUUCUCUUUGUUGUUAUGUCUAAACCUCACUACCUGUUUCUGUACUCGUGUUAUUCGCCCACAUGAAUUAAAUGUGUUGUUCAACCUCGAGUUGAAAAACUCAAGAAACUAUCAAGAAAAUCGAUUAAUUAUCUUGUAAACUAUAAAACAUUUUUACAAAUAUUCCAUGUAAAUCUUUGUUUUAUCCUAAAUUACUCUUCUUUACUUAAGAUUCGGUUAAUCAGUGCUAUAUACUCGUUUGCCAGUUGUUUAUUAUGUUUUUAUUUGUCGGAUUGAAUUCAGAAAUAUAGGCGUUGAUCAUU